AUGCUUUGCUGGGCUGACACGGUCCCUUCCUGCUUGACCCUGGCCCAGUCACUUCCCUGCUCUGCGUGCCUCAAUUUCUUCUGUAAAGUGGAGAAAAUGACAGCCCGAGGGAUGCUGCAAGACUCCAAAAGCCAGGAUGUUAGUAAAGUGUUCCUUCCUUCCUUCCUUCCCUUCCUUCAGAGAGAAGGCACAAAGACCAAGGAGGGCUGGGGAAGGUGCCACUUCAGCUGGGACGAGAAGGAAGGCAGAGAUGGGGAGGGAGAAGAUUUCAAGUAUGAAGGACCAAGGGCCAGAGCCAUUCAGCAUCUCUGUCCUGAUGACAAUUCUACUCCCACCCCGCAUUUCCAUAGCAUUCUGAGGUUUGCAUGUGGGUUUAUGGGGAUGUUUUCUGGUGUCCGAGUUUAUGAGUGCUGGGUUUGCUGCUGUUGCUGAGAGACCCACAGAGGCCAGUGUCCUGUGUAGACCAACCAAGGUUUAUUUGAGGGGCUUGCAGCAAUUCCCUGGAGGGGUCGGGUGGGAUGGAAGGUGGGGGUAGGGGAGAAAAGUUAGCAGAUCUCCAGGUCCAACAUUUAACUUUUCCUGCUUCAUAUUUAGAGGCAGCAUGGUGGCCAGCAAGCCCUGACUUGGGAGACAGAGAGGGGGCUUGGAGUCAGACCAUCCCAUGAUGCUUCUUCCUUACAUGACCUUAGGGGACCUAAGCACCAGGAGCCUCAGUUUCCUCCUCUGGAAAAUAAGACUGUUGUAUUUGAUAGCUUUUGGGGUCUCCUCCAGACCUAAUAGAGGGUCAGGAAUGGGAAGGACUGUAGGGGAUAGCCCCGUGCACUGUUCUCAUCAUAUAGAAAAGGUCAGAGGGGGAGAAUGACUUGACCCUGGUCUCUCAGCCUGAGUCCCAGAAUAAUAGGGAUUUGAGCUAACAUUCUUAGAUUUCCUGCUCAGGCUUCUUCCCAGAGGGCCCCAUUACCCCUGUUAUUCCUGCUUCUGUUCUUGCAUUCUCACUUGGUUUUUGUACAGUUUGCAAAAGAAAUUAAUUAUUUAUUAGCCAUUUAACUUUAAAGACCAGCUAGACCAAAUGAACUUGCUUUACAGCUAUUUACAUUUGAAUAAAUGAACUUGAGCAAAUAAAAUGUCCA
rnacentral:lncRNA from 1 species